UCCCUCCCAAAAUCACACUUUGGGUCAAAGAGGAUGACUUUCCCUUAUAAAGGAGGACCAUCUUUUGGUCAAGGGUAUAUAAGUAUCUGUAUUCCCCUGCUAAAAACUUCUAAACACGUUCUCAAAACUUCUGCUGAGGGGCUAGGGAGAUGGAGU
rnacentral:sRNA from 1 species